UUUAGGUUCUAUAUCUUAAUGUUCGGUUUGAAAGGAAAGAUGUCAUUCAAGAAGAGAGAAGAGUAAGAUGUAAAGAAUGCAUGGUUAGAGAGAUUCCAAUGACAUCAACAACUGCAACAAAAGUGUAACAAUCAGGAGAAAAAUAUAAAGAAGGCAUUAUUAUACAUGUAUGUUAUAAUUUAAGAUGAAACAUGAGGCAGAAUCCACAUCAAUCAUGGGGAGUCGAACGACGUUUGACGUUUCUUACAUAGGCCACAAGCCCACAACACCGACCAUGGAUGGCAGAAGGUUAUCAAUGCAAAAUCAAAUGGGGAUAACAAUCAGAGAUGGCAAACACAAAGCAGAGAUGAAAAUCAGAGACAAAGGGCAAAGAUGUAAGAUGAUAAUAUGUAGCUUGACAUGUAUUAUCAUAGUUAUUUUUUCUUA